UGGGGAAUUUUGGACAAUGGGCGAAAGCCUGAUCCAGCAAUGCCGCGUGUGUGAAGAAGGCCUUCGGGUUGUAAAGCACUUUUGUCCGGAAAGAAAUCCUUGGCUCUAAUACAGUCGGGGGAUGACGGUACCGGAAGAAUAAGCACCGGCUAACUACGUGCCAGCAGCCGCGGUAAUACGUAGGGUGCAAGCGUUAAUCGGAAUUACUGGGCGUAAGCGUGCGCAGGCGUUGCUUAAGACCGAUGUGAAAUCCCCGGGCUCAACCUGGGGAACUGCAUUGGUGACUGGCAGGCUAGAGUAUGGCAGAGGGGGGUAGAAUUCCACGUGUAGCAGUGAAAUGCGUAGAGAUGUGGAGGAAUACCGAUGGCGAAGGCAGCCCCCUGGGCCAAUACUGACGCUCAUGCACGAAAGCGUGGGGAGCAAACAGGAUUAGAUACCCUGGUAGUCCACGCCCUAAACGAUGUCAACUAGUUGUUGGGGAUUCAUUUCCUUAGUAACGUAGCUAACGCGUGAAGUUGACCGCCUGGGGAGUACGGUCGCAAGAUUAAAACUCAAAUGAA
rnacentral:rRNA from 1 species